UACAGGGGGUGCAAACGUUGCUCGGAAUUAUUGGGCGUAAAGCGCGCGUAGGCGGCUACUUAAGUCGGAUGUGAAAGCCCCUGGCUCAACUGGGGAAGUGCACCCGAAACUGAGUGGCUUGAGUGCGAAAGAGGGUCGCGGAAUUCCCGGUGUAGAGGUGAAAUUCGUAGAUAUCGGGAGGAACACCGGUGGCGAAGGCGGCGACCUGGGUCGACACUGACGCUGAGACGCGAAAGCGUGGGGAGCAAACAGG
rnacentral:rRNA from 1 species